CCUCCAUGAUCACAGAAACCGGCAGAAGGUCAUGUCUCAAGCUGAAGGUCUUCGUGAGGCCGCCGAAUGGCUGUGAGAAAACCAUAGGCGUUCAUGACCGCGUUUUUGUCGAUGACAAAGUAGACAAUGCAUUAGAACCAAGAGAUGACACGAGUCACGAGGCUGAACCAUCCCGGAGCGACGUGUCGACUUCAGGCCUGCGGCACCAGACGUCGCGCCCCCUGCUGGCGCUCCUGCUGCUCUGCAUCUCGCUCUAUCUGCUCUUAUAACCCAGAGCGUUCCAUCACCUUUCACCCAUAUUUAAGUGCUCCUUUGAUUAGCCGUGCAGAGAAGAAUCGCAGAUUAUCAUCCGAUUAACCAAUCACAGCGGCUGCUCUCUGCUGAUUGGCUGCCAGGAGGAUGGGGGCGGAGUCAGAGGGUCGCAUCAAAGAGACAUUAUACCAUCAAAGCCGGCUCUGCUGUUAGAAAUCAAAAACACAAAGACUUUUCUUGCCUUUUUUCGUCCUUCGUCUGCCUUCCCGUAACAAACUGCAGAAGAAGAAACGGCCUGACGAUGCAUCUCGGAGAGUUAAUUACUAGUCUAAACACUGAAAAAAAUGAUUCAUUGGAUUUACAAAAAAAAAAUUAAGGUAAAAUUAAGGUUGCAAACUUAUACAGUUGAAGUCUCCUGAAGUAUUAGCCCUCCUAUAUAUUUUCCCCAACUUCUGUUUAACGGAGAGCAGAUUUCUUCAACACAUUUAUAAUCAUAAUAGUUUUAAUAACUCAUUUCUAAUAACUGAUUUCUUUGAUGAUGACAUGAUGACAGUAAAUAAUAUUUGACUAGAUAUUCUUCAAGACACUAGUAUUCAGCUUAAAGUGACAUUUAAAGGCUUAACUAGGUUAAUUAAGGUAAAGUUAGGGUAAUUAGGCAAGUCAUUGUAUAACAGUGUUAUAACAGGCAUGGACAUACAGGGAUUUUUCCAGAAAAGACCAUUCAAACAUCCAUUCCAAAAUGGCGGUAAAUUUGGACAUCAUUAACUAGAAAUGAGCUCUUAACGGCUGCGCUUGUAUUAGUAAACAUAGAAGGGGUCGUGCUUUUGUUGAUGGUUUCACUUUUACUUAAAGCUUUAGCAUUCAUGCAGCUGAUUUGUGAGACAUCCAAAGGCAGAAGCACGAACCACAGCUAAAUGUUUACACGUUUGACUACAUUACAAAUUCUGUGAAUGGAUGAGUAUUGUCAGCAGCUUAUAUGAAACCAUAUAGAGGAACACUUUCACAUGUUGAGAUGUUCAUAAUAUGUGUAUCUGACUGCACACUGAAGCAGCAACUGAAGCAGAGCUUGAAGGUAAACAAACAACGGCUUGUGAUAAGCAUUUUAUCGAUAAUUUUUUACACGGUUGGCAUUAAGAAGGAACAUAGGAACGUUAUCUGACUAACAUCUAGCAGCUAAAUGUGUCUGGAAAAAUAUGCAAAGGCUUUUAUUUUCGUAAACAGCACGGAUGUGAAUGCAUCUGAGUGUUCUGAUUGGCUAAAGUAGAUGUCUCCCGUCAGUGCAUUCUAUAUGUGAGCGUGCACUUUCUGGCAAUUUUCCUUUUGCAUUCACACGGUGCACCGUUCCGGCAAUUUACCGGCAAUGUUACAACUUUUCUUUCCGGAAAAUUGCAUUUAAUUGUGGUAUUUUUAAAAAAGGCCUGUUUACACAUACAGACCCUUUUAUACAGCCGGUAAUUUUCCGGAAAGGUCUGUAUGUGUGAAAGGGGCUACUAAUAUUGACCUUAAAAUAUUUUUAACAAAUUAAGAACUGCUUUUAUUCUAGCUGAAAUAAAACAAGCAAGACUUUCUCCAGAAGAAAAAAUAUAAUAGGAAAUACUGUGAAAAAUUUCCUUGCUCGGUAAACAUCAUUUCAAGAGUUCACGCUUAGAUAUUGCUUGAUAAUAUUAGCAGGUUUGGCAUUCUGUCCCGGGAGAGAACACUGAGCUCUGAGAGAGUUGAGGCCAGGGCUCCCGCCUGGUCAUUUAGCAUGAAAAAGGGGGUCAGAGAUCAGGUAGUUCUCAAGAGCUCCCCCUGGUUAAAGAGGCAGAUGGGGUGGACAGGGGGAUUCUUCAAAAACCAAGAUAAGGGUAUUAGGGUGAAAAUGGACUAUUCAUUGUAAGCUAGGAUUAAUCUGAUGAUUUUAUCGAUUUAUAUAAUGUAUCAUAUCAUGUGCUCCUCUCGAAAUUAGUUUAUAAAAUUUUAACUUGCUUUAAAAGUAUUGAAUUGAAAUGUUUAAGAAAGAAAAAAAAUCUGAUUGUAAUUAAUUUACAAGUUAACGAAUAAUUUUGACUUCAACUGCAUGUGGGCUGAAUAUAAACAAAUACAAUUUGUUAACAUUACUAAAUUUAAUUUGUUUAAAUGCAGCUUGUAUUAAUAGUUUGCAACCACUUACCUUGUAAGUAAAAUGUAGUAAAUCCAAUGAAUUUUUUUUUUCCAGUGAAUGUGUAAUCUGAUUUGUGUUGAAUUCGGAGGGACUUGUCUUAGUAGACCGCACCACUAAAAUAAAAAACAACAAAAAAAAACAACAACAAUUUUGUAUUUUGUAAGAUAAACUUAACAGCGACAUAAAUAUCUCUAUUUUUCCUAUGACCUUUUAUCGAUUGAUAUGAGAUAUCAGCAUUAACGGAUCGUGGAAACUCUUUUCUCUGUCAUAACUGUGUGUUCGACUCUAUAUUAGGAACCAAAUAUGAGAAGGGGCUCCGCACGACGUUUUAUUCCCCUUUUCUCUGGGUGGGAAAGGCCUUAUACUGUACACACAAUACUAAUCUCUCCUCAGCUGGGGGAAUAAACUGUAGUUCAUUUCAUUCAUGCAUUUGUUUGUUCUGUAGCUGUUUAUCGGUGCGAUUCUGACUCGUUUUAAUAUGCUGAUGCCACAUACUGUAGACGAGAUGAUGUUAAAUUACGGGCAUUCUCCUCCGACAGCCUUAUAUACUGUUUGGAGGAGGAACUGCAGGGAGAAUUUCACAAAACUAGAUGGUAGAUUAAUAUUUCACCACAGUAAAAUAAAAAUAGGAAAACUAAUAAUCUAGAGUUUUCUUUCUUUGACUGUUAUAAAUACACUGUAAAGUUUUUACUGUAAAAUUUACAGUGAGUCACUGGCAUCUUUGGUUGUCAAAUUUUGUAAAUUAUUACAAUUGUGCUGUGUUUUUUAAAUUAAAAUUGUAAAUAAUUUACAGUGUGCUUGUAACCAAAAUCGCUGGUAAUUAUUAACUUACAGUGCACUUGCAAAUUUACA